rnacentral:lncRNA from 1 species
AUGGCUGAUGAAGAGUCCUAAUACUAGUGGACUUUGAGUCCUACGUAUCUGAAACUCUAUGAUCGAGAAUCAGGAUUCUCUAAUCAUGAGUUCCACAUAUUUUGGGUACCGGGGUCAAGAGUCCUACUGGUUUGGGACUUUUUGAUCAGGGUUUCAUAUCGAUGGACUCUGAUGCCUGAUUGCCCAUCGAAUUUGGACUCAAUAUUUAUGAGAGGUUUAAUUAGUGAUUUGAUCACUAAUUAACUCAAUUUGAUUGAGUAAUUAUUUUUGGAUCAAGUCCAAUUGAAUUGGAUUCAGUU